UGUGGUCAGCUCGUGUCGUAGAUGUUGGGUUAAGUCCCGCAACGAGCGCAACCCUCGUCCUUAGUUGCCAGCAGUUGGGCUGGGCACUCUAAGGAGACUGCCUUCGCAAGGAGGAGGAAGGUGAGGACUACGUCAAGUCAUCAUGGCCCUUAUGGCCAGGGCUACACACGGUGCUACAAUGGGACGUACAGAGAGUUGCGAUACCGCGAGGUGGAGCCAAUCUCAUAAAGCGUCUGUCAGUUCGGAUUGUUCUCUGCAACUCGAGAGCAUGAAGCUGGAAUCACUAGUAUCCGUAGAUCAGCAUUGCUACGGUGAAUACGUUCCAAANGUCUUGUACACACCGCCCG
rnacentral:rRNA from 1 species